AUUGAACGCUGGCGGUAGGCCUAACACAUGCAAGUCGAACGCGAAAGUCCUUCGGAUGAGUAGAGUGGCGGACGGGUGAGUAACGCGUAGGAAUCUAUCCUGUAGUGGGGGAUAACGUUUCGAAAGGAACGCUAAUACCGCAUACGCCCCAAGGGGGAAAGCGGGGGAGUCUUCGGACCUCGUGCUAUAGGAGGAGCCUGCGUCGGAUUAGCUAGUUGGUGAGGUAAAGGCUCACCAAGGCGACGAUCCGUAGCUGGUCUGAGAGGAUGAUCAGCCACACCGGAACUGAGACACGGUCCGGACUCCUACGGGAGGCAGCAGUGGGGAAUUUUGGACAAUGGGGGCAACCCUGAUCCAGCCAUGCCGCGUGAGUGAAGAAGGCC
rnacentral:rRNA from 1 species